rnacentral:rRNA from 1 species
GACGAACGCUGGCGGCGUGCUUAACACAUGCAAGUCGAACGCUGAAGCUCAGCUUUUGUUGGGUGGAUGAGUGGCGAACGGGUGAGUAACACGUGAGUAACCUGCCCCCUUCUUUGGGAUAACGCCCGGAAACGGGUGCUAAUACUGGAUAUUCACUGGUCUUCGCAUGGGGGUUGGUGGAAAGGGUUUUUCUGGUGGGGGAUGGGCUCGCGGCCUAUCAGCUUGUUGGUGGGGUGAUGGCCUACCAAGGCUUUGACGGGUAGCUGGCCUGAGAGGGUGACCGGUCACAUUGGGACUGAGAUACGGCCCAGACUCCUACGGGAGGCAGCAGUGGGGAAUAUUGCACAAUGGGCGCAAGCCUGAUGCAGCGACGCCGCGUGAGGGAUGGAGGCCUUCGGGUUGUGAACCUCUUUCGCUCAUGGUCAAGCCGCAACAAUGGUUGUGGUGAGGGUAGUGGGUAAAGAAGCGCCGGCUAACUACGUG